ACUCAACAUUACUUUUUUUUAAAAGGGUGAGUGUAGAUUGUAAAAGCACGCCGUUCUUAUCACGGAUCCUUGAUCAGUCUUGUAGCCCUAAACUUGUUUACUGGGGUUU
rnacentral:sRNA from 1 species